CCCGAGGAAAAGAAAUCAACCGAGAUUCCCCUAGUAGCGGCGAGCGAACGGGGAGCAGCCCAGAGUCUUAAUCAAUAACAGUGUCAGGAGAACGGUCUGGAAAGUCCGGCAGUAAAGGGUGAUAGCCCCGUAUCUGAAGAUGCUGUUGUUGUGAACUCGACGAGUAGGGCGGGACACGUGUUAUCCUGUCUGAAUAUGGGGGGACCAUCCUCCAAGGCUAAAUACUCCUGAUUGACCGAUAGUGAACCAGUACCGUGAGGGAAAGGCGAAAAGAACCCCGGCGAGGGGAGUGAAAAAGAACCUGAAACCGUGUACGUACAAGCAGUAGGAGCCUCUUUAUGGGGUGACUGCGUACCUUUUGUAUAAUGGGUCAGCGACUUAUAUUCUGUAGCGAGGUUAACCGUAUAGGGGAGCCGUAGGGAAACCGAGUCUUAACUGGGCGAAUGAGUUGCAGGGUAUAGACCCGAAAC
rnacentral:rRNA from 1 species